UACGUGGGGGGCAAGCGUUGUUCGGAAUUACUGGGCGUAAAGGGCUCGUAGGCGGCCAACUAAGUCGGAUGUGAAAUCCCCAGGCUCAACUUGGGAACUGCAUCCGAUACUGGAUGGCUUGAAUUCGGGAGAGGGAUGCAGAAUUCCAGGUGUAGCGGUGAAAUGCGUAGAUAUCUGGAGGAAUACCGGUGGCGAAGGCGGCAUCCUGGACCGACAUUGACGCUGAUGAGCGAAAGCUAGGGGAGCAAACGGG
rnacentral:rRNA from 1 species